GAAAAAGCCGCCAAAAACCCCCGGAAAGAAAAGAAAAAGGCUGACCUUGAGUUCACUAUGUAGUCCAGGCUGGCCUCAAACUUGUGAUCCUUCUGCCUCAGCCUCCUGAGUGCUGGGAUAACUGCGGGGCCCUCGGGGCUUACUUGGCGUGGCAGGUACAGCAUCAUUGGAAUGUGCACAGCGGCCCAGCCUGGCAUCCCUCUCAGAGCACCUGUGGGUACAGGAAACUGAACAUGAAGAACAUCCCUCCCUGCUCUAGGGAAGGGCAGGAGGCUGUCAACACAGGACACGACCCUACCCGUGAGAAGAAGUCUGUGUCCCUGGAGGCUCCCGGGAGCCUCCCUCGCACCUGAUCACAUCCAGGAAGACAUCCGUGUAGUAGACCUUCCCGUCCACACUGUCAUAGUCCAGCGAGAUGACAUUGUUGAGCUCAGGCACCGGGACGUGCACAUCGGUGUGAUCGCUGGUGUCCAGCGAGAUACGCCGGAUGGAGCCUCGGCUGGAGAAGAGUAGGCUACGUAUUCCAGGCUGGCCUCCAACUCACAGUGAUCCUCCUGCCUCAGCCGCCUGAGGGCUUGGGUCACACAUGUGCACCACCACACCCAUUUCCAAAACUCACACUUUUAACCUCUACACUGUCCUGCUACCCUCUGAAAGAAGCCACAAGGGGAGGGGAACAACAUCCCUGUGACACGCUCAUUCUCCAUGGCCUCCAGGCACCCCAGCCACCCCCCGGCUCCAGCCAACCCCUCCUGCCACCCAGAGACAGAGCCAGCUCUCACCCCAUCUCGUGAUACAGCACGAUGGCCCUCAGGCUGUCCAGGUUCUGCCAUACCAGCACCUUCCGCAUGGACCCGUCCAGGUUGCCCACCUCGAUCCGGUUCGUUCCUGUGUCUGUCCAGUAUACUUUGCGGCCAAUGGCAUCCACCGUGAGCCCAUCUGUCGUCUGCAGCCCUGCGGUAAGGCAGAAGAGCACACUGGCCCCUGUGCAGGGCAGAUGGUCCAUUUCCCCAGCUCCGCAGGUAGACAGGUGGUCCCGGGCUGGCAGCAAGGCCCACCUGUCGUGAUGAUGUCCUCGUGCCAGGAGCCGUCCAGGUUGGCCCGGCUGAUUCUGUGUAGUGUGCUGUCAGACCAGUACACCUUUCCUGGAGAGGGAAGGUCUGGCUCAAGUCUGGGUCUCGCCUCCCGCCAUGGCACGCACAGCGACUCAGACCUGAGACACCGGAGUGUGCCAGACAGCCCUGCAGCCCCUCACAGAAGAAAGCAAGGGAGAUGGAGAAAAAUCACAGCCCUGGGCAGAGACGGAGAAAGGAGAGGCCCGGCCCCAUGAUCAGGAAGUCCUGCACACAUAGGGAUGGGAACGGGCUGCCCCUGGGCUCGUAGCAGGUGGCAAAGGUGGCAGGAAAGGAAGGACACCAGUUGCUGUCAGGCAGGGACAGGAGCCAGGUGGGAAGAGAGAGCUGCACAGACCUGCCUCCGGGUCCACUCCAAUGGCAAUGGUGUUCUUCAUGGUAAUGUUGAUUGGCACCACCACGUCAGCAAAAUAAGGGAUGUCCAGGAGACCAUGCGCACGUCUAUCCUCCUGGCGAAGAUGAGGAAACUGUUCAUGCCUGUCCAGAUGGAGAGAGGAGGGGACCAUGGCUCUAGCAGGGCCAUUAUGAGGGCUUGGAGUCAGGCAAAGUGCAGCUCACAGCAGGACCCUGCUAGCCGAGAGCUAUGUGAUCCUAGGCAGUUAUUGGAAUGAUUUAAGCCUGCUUCCUGAUUAUAAAGUGGGGACAACAACAGGUGACUGUCAGGAUUAAAAGAGAUUGUGUGCAUAAAGUCCUGAGCAUUUAGCUCUCACACAUCUUCACAACUGAUUUCUCUUCAUUACUAUUAUGGAAGCAGCUCUCUUUGAAGGAUCCUCUACCAUGAAGCACAAUAAAGGGCCAGGUGUGGUGGUGCAUGCCUGUAACCCCAGCACUCAAGAGGCUGAGGCAGGAGGACUGCCAUGAGUUUGAGGCCAGCCUGUGCUACACAGCAAGACCCUAUCUAAAAAAAUAAAAUAAGUAAAAAAGAAGACUAAAAGGACCCCAGAUGGCUUUAUCGACAAUGUAGGAGGCACUCAAAUUCCCCCCCAGAUGUUAAGAGUUCAAGGCCAAGUUAUCUAGGAGAGAAAACUUGAUUUUCAACCCCUGGGUAGCCAGGUCCUGCUUCUGGGCCUAUCUCAUAGAGCUGUCAUGUAAGCUAUACGCAGACAGGAACAUCUUUUUCUCAAAUGCACAAAGACCUCACAAGAACCAGGGGACACUGUCUGUUUGCCUGCUCCCCUGAGCCACCCCUGGCCCCUUGUUCUCUUCUAAAAGCUCUCAGUCUCUCCCUUAAGCCUCUAGAAACACCAGGACUCGAUUUCUCAGACCACACGGGAGCCCAUGUACAGAGGAGAAAAAGCAGCUAUUUCCUGUCCCUGACAGGCUCCACCCCGGGCCUGAGAGGCCCUGCUCCACUCCACCUGGUGAACACUUCUUGCCAUUAGGCAGCAGGUUGAUGCCUGUGGGGCAGGUACAGCUGAAGCCACUCGGAUUUGGGGACCGCAGACACAGGUGGCUGCAGCCGCCAUUCUCUGUAGCGCAUGGUGUGGUCACUGUAAGAAGGAGGGGUCAGUGGGACAGGCCAGGGCCUAGCAGGACCCAGGAGAAGCCAUGCGGGCUAAGGGCGGCUCACCUGGGGGCCGCCGCCGGUGGAAGACGUGGAUGUCCAUGAGAUUCUCCAGGUUCUCCUGCAGGGUCUCCCGGUCCAGCCCGGUCAGCCGGUCGGCACUUUGGAUGCUCUUGGUCUGCCAGUCCGUCCAGUAGAUUCGCUCUCCGUAGAGGGUCAGACCAAAAGGGUGGGGCAGCUGGCUUCCGAUGAGCACCUGCCAGGGCCCCAGCAUCAGUCAUCCCCAGCAGGGUCUGAUGGUAGGGAGCUUGGCGGGGCGUUAGGAUGCAACUCUGCCACCGUCAUUACCGCCUACCAUGUGACCUUGACCGAGAACUAAUUAUAUCCUCUCUUCAGCCUCGCUCCAGCAGUCUGUGAUAUGGCCACGACAGUGCUGCUCCAAUGAGUGUGAUGAUUUUAAAAGAUCACGUGUUCCUCACAUAAUCUCCAAGUGUCUCAGCACAAAAGUAGCAACUUUACAGUGGACACCUCCCUAACCAUGCAAUCAAAAUAGAUAUCACAACAGUGGAACAAGCAAACAUCUGUACCCGUGGAUGAGACACACUACGAAACUCAUGACGACACAACUGCACUUACUGUAGCAUUCCUUCCGCAAAUGCACAAUCUGAAUCCAAUCUCAAGGAAAUCUCAGUCAAACCCAAAUUAGGGGCAUUCAGGAAAUAAUUGGCUUUUACUCUUUUUUUUUUAAAUGCAAAGGUCAAGAAAGACAUAAAAAAGGUUGAAGAAGUGUUCUAGAUUAGAGAUUGAGAGAUGAGAUCACUAAACACAACAGUGAUCCUAGUUGGAUCCUGGACUAAAAGACAAAAAGAAAAAGAAGCCAUUAAAUACACUAUCAGGGACUCUGGUAGUGAAACUGAGCAGGGAGAGUGGAUUAUACAGGAAUAUUGUAUCAAUGUUAAACUUCCAAUUUUGAUAAAUGUACUAUGGUUAGAUAAGAAACUGUCCUUGGUCUUAAGGAAUAUGGAUUGGAAUAUUUUGGAGUUAAAGCUAAGAUGUCCCUAAUUUAAUUUCAGGUGAUUCAGAAAAAUAAGAGAGAGAGCGUGUGUGUGUGCAGAAACAGAGAAAGCGUGUAAAAAUGGUAAAAAAUGUGGGAAAAUGUUAUUUGUUCUUUUCAUUACUUUUGCAACUUUCCUGUAAGCUUGAAAGUUUAAUAAAAUAAACAAUAACAAAAACAAAGAGA
ensembl:lncRNA